CAGACAGGGCUGGCUGUCAGUGGGGACCAGGAGUCCUCCCCCCACCCUCACCUGCCCCUCUCUGAACCCCCAAAAUAUCCAGAACACAAACAGGAAGGAACUUUUUGUGUGCUGAGCUGGAAUUCUUCUGCACGUGGAUGCCAGCUCCUGUCCAGGAGCGGCUUUGGGGUAGAACUUCAGUGGUUUAAUGAGUGAUUUGCCAGCACUGCACUGCAAUCCUACAGAGUUCUCCCAAAAGCAGCCAGGUGAGAGGCUCUCAUCCCAUUUCCUGACUGUCUCCAGUGGUGUCUGGAGCAUCCAGACACGUGGUUUGUACCUGUCCCACCUGCCAAAACAACCUGCUGAGGAGAUAGAAACCAUCAAUCCCCUUCCUCCACCCUUUCCUACACCAGAUGGCCUCACCAAAUCCUUCACCUAAAUCCUAAAACCAGACAGAACGGGGCCUGGCACCACUGACUGAAGAUGAUGGAAGGUUUGCAUCUGCCACCCGAGGCUGGGGCAUGGAGACUUGGCCAGGUUUUCCAUCUCUGGGACAACCUCCCUGCUUAGAGAAUCUUCCAUCCUCAACUUCCCACAGCUCUCACUGCAUCCUGCAGGGACAAGAGACCACUGUAACAACGUCCCUGUCACCUGAAGUCUGGGACAAACCACUGUGAUCUCCCUCACAGCAUGUCCAGAGGUUAUUCCGUGUCUCAGGGAUGGCAAAAUCAAAGUCCAGCCUUUCCUCUCCUCUCUGGCAGUGACAGUAUCAAGUGCUGGCGACACCACCGGCUUUUUUCUGUUCACUCAUUUCAAAUGGAGCAGGAUUUAAUUCUGAUUCUGCCCUCA